UACGGAGGGGGCUAGCGUUGUUCGGAAUUACUGGGCGUAAAGCGCACGUAGGCGGACUGUUAAGUCGGGGGUGAAAUCCUGGGGCUCAACCUCAGAAUUGCCUCCGAUACUGGCAGUCUCGAGUGCGGGAGAGGUGAGUGGAAUUCCCAGUGAUAGAGGUGAAAUUCGUAGAUAUUGGGAAGAACACCAGUGGCGAAGGCGGCUCACUGGCCCGUAACUGACGCUGAGGUGCGAAAGGCGUGGGGAGCAAACAGG
rnacentral:rRNA from 1 species